UGGGGAAUAUUGCACAAUGGGCGGAAGCCUGAUGCAGCAACGCCGCGUGCGGGAUGACGGCCUUCGGGUUGUAAACCGCUUUCGCCUGUGGCGAAGCGUGAGUGACGGUAAUGGGUAAAGAAGCACCGGCUAACUACGUGCCAGCAGCCGCGGUGAUACGUAGGGUGCGAGCGUUGUCCGGAUUUAUUGGGCGUAAAGGGCUCGUAGGUGGUUGAUCGCGUCGGAAGUGUAAUCUUGGGGCUUAACCCUGAGCGUGCUUUCGAUACGGGUUGACUUGAGGAAGGUAGGGGAGAAUGGAAUUCCUGGUGGAGCGGUGGAAUGCGCAGAUAUCAGGAGGAACACCAGUGGCGAAGGCGGUUCUCUGGGCCUUUCCUGACGCUGAGGAGCGAAAGCGUGGGGAGCGAACA
rnacentral:rRNA from 1 species